ensembl:snRNA U6 U6 spliceosomal RNA
GUGCUCGCUUGGGCAGCACAGAGACUGAAAUUAGACGCUACGGAGAAGAUUACCAUGGCCCCUGCGCAAGGAUGACUCGCAAAUUUGUGAAGUGUCUCAUAUUAAA